CCGCCUCUGUCGUUCCUAUCGCCCUCCCUCCGCCACCGCCGCUGCUCUAGGGAGGAUCAAGCCCACGCCUCCGCCGUUCCCCACACCUCCCUCCUCUCUUAUCCUCGCCGUUGCCAUAGGAUGCCGCCGGACGAAGCUCGGCCUGCGUCGAUAGCGUCGGGUCCCUCUCCUCCCUCGGGCGGCGGCGCAAGAGACAGCUGGCUCGCCCUGCGCCGGCGACAGCAGGGUCCCUCUCCUUCCUCGGGCAGCGGCGGCGGCGCGGGACACAGCGGGCUCGGCCUGCGCCGGUGACGGCGGGGACCCUCACCUCCCUCAAGCAGCGGCGGCGGCGCGGCACGCAGUGGGCGGCCACAGAUGCAACGCUGGGUGCGGGGCGUGGCGGCUCUUGAGGGACAGGCGCGCAACGGUACCGUGGCGGCUGCCGUGUCCGAUGCUCUGCACUGGAGGCAGAGCGGCACCGUCACCUGGCCAAGGACCAGGGCAGUUUUCCGAGUGGUGGAACGUCUUCGUACAGCGCGGAUUUCACAGCUCGCAAGUUCCAGUGUCCAAAUGUUGAUUUCAAACUUCAGAUCCACAAGAUUGGUAAGAAGUGCAAUAUUCUUUCUGCACACCUGCCUUGAGGUAGUAACAAAAUCAUUUGUGGCAUGUUUAACUCAGUUGUUUGUGUUUACAUAGGAGUGGAGUUCCAACUCUGCCAGUAAAACAAGAUUAAGUGGGAGGGGCUGAAACUCUUUUGCAUGGAAACGUUUAACUGACUGAUUUAAGAUGGUCUUAAAUUCUUUAGCUUGCAACUAUUUAACGAAAUUAUUUUUAAGUGGGCUAUCACAGUGACACCAUACCUUGAGUACCACUUACUACAUAUGAAAAGUAGAUUAUGAUAAUUGACCUUUCAUGAUCGGAUCUCAGGCAAUCAUGAUAUUGUAUUUUGCAGUUUUAAUAAUUCUGACUGGAGAGGUAUUUCGUGACUUGUGAGUGUCAGGUUCAAUGCAUAAAAAAUCAUGGUCUAUUUGUUAUGUGCCAUUCUGUGCAAGAACUUCAUCCUCAUUAUGCUUUUCCCCCUUUCAUUUGAGUUAGUAAAGUGGUUUCUGCAAGACCAAUAUAAUCUGGUAAUGUUAUUGCAAUGCCACUGAAAUUCUGUCGUGCUCAUCAAACUCUUUGACCUUGCAGACUAUAAAAUAUAAAUUUCAUUACUGCAUUAUCAAGUGGUUCAGAAGAUUGGUUUCUCUUGCAAGCAGAGGAUUUCCCUCACUGUAUGGACCAGAAAUUGAACGUAUUAUUGAUGUCUUUGUUACACGAUCCGUGCCGUGUCGGGAACUCCUCUGCUACAUACUCCUCUCCUGAUUUUGUAGAUGAAUAACCUACCAUUUCAAUCUGUGAAAUAUUGCUGAAUUUUGUAAAAUGUCAGAUCAUGGUACUUACAACCAAUGGAAACCAUAGAAUUGAUGUUCAUGAAAGUGGACCAAUUACUGUAUUGAGGAAAUGUAGCAUGUAAGAUUUAGAGUACUUUCAUAUGAGAAUGCUUUGCGCUACCAGGCGUUGAUGAUCUUUGUAUAUUUCAAUGGGCCUUUGCGAAGGAUCUUCACGUUAAAGGCUCCUCCUAUUCUCAAGAUUAUUCAGGCGAGCAAGCAAUUGGCUUAAUCUCUCAAGCAAUUUACUCAUAUGUGUGAUUGGAAAGAUGACUGACAUUUGAUCUACGACACUACUAACUGAAGACGAUUUUAUGUUAUGAGACUUUGGCCUGAUUUCAGAGUUGUACUAAAUUCUGAAGUUUGUUGUAUGACACUACUAUCUGACAAGUACAUUUGUUCACACUUACUUGAGUGUACCCUAUGUGUCAAUUUGUGGUCUGUGAUUUUAAUAUGUGUUUUUCUUGUUGUUGUCAUUAUCCUCGACAGAUAAUUCAAAUGGUCGAUUCAUGGCUUGCUACAAUAGAUGAUUUUCUGAAUCUAAUGUAUUAUUUUGCUGAUGUUGUUAGGUUGUUAAUUCAUCAAGCCCGACUACUGAGUAUACAUAUUGUGUUCAUCUUCCCUGCCUUCUUAGGAAAAAUCAUGUACCGAAGUCUGAAGAUGAAGAACCAAGCAUGCCACCGGAACCGCCGGAUCGGCCGCCUGCACCACACCUCAAACCUCCAUACGCCAACGCUGGGAAGUCUCCACGCUCCGCAAAGAAAGUGAAAGAAUUACGAAGAAAUAAAGAAAAAGGAAGAAAAAAGAAAAGGAAAACAUAUAUUUGUUUGUUUAUAGAGUUGCGUGCAUUCUUGUAUGAUAAUACUGUGUUUAUUGCCUGCCUUGGUGAUGGGGCAGGGAAGGUAAGUGGGGGCUAACAUGUGGCCGAGGCAAAAAAAUAAUUUUGGGUGAAAAUAGAAGAGAAAGUGGGGGCUCCUAUCCCCUGGAACCAAGUUUUUCAUUAAAUUUUCAGGGAAUUUUUUUCUUUAAUUGGAUGGAUUCGAAUCUAUAGUUGUUGGUUGCAGUGUCCAUUCUGUACGAGGUAGCACUAUUUUUGCA